rnacentral:tRNA from 1 species
UCCCUUGUGGCUCAGCUGGUAAAGAACCUGCCUGCAAUGCAGGAAACCUGGGUUCAAUCCCUGGAUUGGGAA